rnacentral:rRNA from 1 species
CCUACGGGUGGCAGCAGUGAGGAAUAUUGGUCAAUGGACGAAAGUCUGAACCAGCCAUGCCGCGUGCAGGAAGACGGCUCUAUGAGCUGUAAACCGCUUUUGUACGAGGGUAAAUCCCGAUACGUGUAUCGGGUUGAUAGGAUCGUACGAAUAAGGAUCGGCUACCUUCGUGCCAGAAGCCGCGGUAAAAGGGAGGAUUCAAGCGUUACCCGGUUUUAUUGGGUUUAAGGGGUGCGAAGGCGGUUCGUUAAUUUAGAGGGGAAAUCACGGGGUUCAACUCCGGCGCUGACUCUAAUACUGUCGGGUUGGAGGUUAGAUGGGGGAGGGGGAAUGUAUGUUGUAGGGGGGAA